rnacentral:rRNA from 1 species
GACGUAGGGCGCGAGCGUUGUCCGGAUUUAUUGGGCGUAAAGCGCUCGUAGGCGGCCUGUCGCGUCUGCUGUGAAAACUCGGGGCGUAACCCCGGGCCUGCAGUGGGUACGGGCAGACUGGAGUGCGGUAGGGGAGACUGGAAUUCCUGGUGUAGCGGUGAAAUGCGCAGAUAUCAGGAGGAACACCGGUGGCGAAGGCGGGUCUCUGGGCCGUAACUGACGCUGAGGAGUGAAAGCGUGGGGAGCGAACAGG